AUGCAGUCGAACGGCAGCACGGGAGCAAUCCUGGUGGCGAGUGGCGAACGGGUGAGUAAUAUAUCGGAACGUGCCCAGUCGUGGGGGAUAACGUAGCGAAAGCUACGCUAAUACCGCAUACGAUCUAUGGAUGAAAGCGGGGGAUCGAAAGACCUCGCGCGAUUGGAGCGGCCGAUAUCAGAUUAGGUAGUUGGUGAGGUAAAGGCUCACCAAGCCGACGAUCUGUAGCUGGUCUGAGAGGACGACCAGCCACACUGGGACUGAGACACGGCCCAGACUCCUACGGGAGGCAGCAGUGGGGAAUUUUGGACAAUGGGCGCAAGCCUGAUCCAGCAAUGCCGCGCGCAGGAUGAAGGCCUUCGGGUUGUAAACUGCUUUUGUACGGAACGAAACGGUGAGCUCUAAUACAGUUUGCUAAUGACGGUACCGUAAGAAUAAGCACCGGCUAACUACGUGCCAGCAGCCGCGGUAAUACGCAGGGUGCGAGCGUUAAUCGGAAUUACUGGGCGUAAAGCGUGCGCAGGCGGUGAUGUAAGACAGAUGUGAAAUGCCCGGGCUCAACCUGGGACCUGCAUUUGUGACUGCAUCGCUAGAGUACGGUAGAGGGGGGAUGGAAUUCCGCGUGUAGCAGUGAAAUGCGUAGAUAUGCGGAGGAACACCGAUGGCGAANGGCAUCCCCUGGACCUGUACUGACGCUCAUGCAC
rnacentral:rRNA from 1 species